GACGAACGCUGGCGGCGUGCUUAACACAUGCAAGUCGAACGGAAAGGCCCUGCUUUUGUGGGGUGCUCGAGUGGCGAACGGGUGAGUAACACGCGAGUAACCUGCCCUUGACUUUGGGAUAACUUCAGGAAACUGGGGCUAAUACCGGAUAGGAGCUCCUGCUGCAUGGUGGGGGUUGGAAAGUUUCGGCGGUUGGGGAUGGACUCGCGGCUUAUCAGCUUGUUGGUGGGGUAGUGGCUUACCAAGGCUUUGACGGGUAGCCGGCCUGAGAGGGUGACCGGCCACAUUGGGACUGAGAUACGACCCAGACUCCUACGGGAGGCAGCAGUGGGGAAUAUUGCACAAUGGGCGGAAGCCUGAUGCAGCAACGCCGCGUGCGGGAUGACGGCCUUCGGGUUGUAAACCGCUUUCGCCUGUGACGAAGCGUGAGUGACGGUAAUGGGUAAAGAAGCACCGGCUAACUACGUG
rnacentral:rRNA from 1 species